rnacentral:rRNA from 1 species
UGGGGAAUAUUGGACAAUGGGCGAAAGCCUGAUCCAGCCAUGCCGCGUGUGUGAAGAAGGUCUUCGGAUUGUAAAGCACUUUAAGUUGGGAGGAAGGGCAUUAACCUAAUACGUUAGUGUUUUGACGUUACCGACAGAAUAAGCACCGGCUAACUCUGUGCCAGCAGCCGCGGUAAUACAGAGGGUGCAAGCGUUAAUCGGAAUUACUGGGCGUAAAGCGCGCGUAGGUGGUUUGUUAAGUUGGAUGUGAAAUCCCCGGGCUCAACCUGGGAACUGCAUUCAAAACUGACUGACUAGAGUAUGGUAGAGGGUGGUGGAAUUUUCUGUGUAGCGGUGAAAUGCGUAGAUAUAGGAAGGAACACCAGUGGCGAAGGCGACCACCUGGACUAAUACUGACACUGAGGUGCGAAAGCGUGGGGAGCAAACA